rnacentral:rRNA from 1 species
AUGGACCAUUCCAUCCCUUUUUCCCGUGCAUAUGCAUCGGACUCGGAUGACGAUGGUCCCGAUGAACAAGUUGAUGCGGAGGGGUUCACGGUGAAGGAGGCCAAAGCUUUCGAGAAGGUAUUUGGUCGGGAUCAUCGGACUACAUUGUUCAAGGAUGUUAGUCUCGCGGAUGAAGCCGUGGUAGAUGGUAGCCAAUGUGUACCUCUUGGGGUUAGGCCAAGCUCUCAC